CUAGAAGAUGCAGCCAGGUUGCUUCUGGAAACAAAGUUCCGAAGAUUACCAGUUGUGGAUGCAGAUGGAAAACUGAUUGGGAUCCUUACAAGGGGAAACGUUGUAAGGGCUGCGCUGCAAAUCAAAAGGGAAGCCGAGAACUCUACAUAGCUAGGAAGCAGCAGUGAUGGAGUAGAUCCCUUGAAUCUUCCAUAGUUGAUAGCAAAAUCUAUUUAUUCCAUUGAUAUAAGUAUAUAUAUAUAUCCCACCCAUUCUCUGUCAAUUUUUGGCUUUCAGAAGCAAAUUUUUUACUUUAGGAGUAACAUUUCUCAGACUCACAACUGAAGACAAAUGGUAUUUGAUACAUAUAUGUAUGUUAUUGUAGCACAAGUAGACCAAGCAGAGUCUAACUACUCUUCAAUCUCUCA